AACAAUCGUGGUUUUUCUCUCGGUACUCGGGUUUCCACGUAAAUUGGUGUGAACUCGUUGUCUCUCUUUUCAAUACUUUCAUACGCUGAAAUCUAUUUGAUGAAUCAACUAUAGACUCCUGGUUUGUAGAGCUUGUUUUUGUAGCUAGGAAGGGAGAUUUUGUUGCAAUAUUAGCUGCUGCAGCGUAAAUAAUGUUUCAUGAGUUUAGGAUGAUUUCUAUAGAAUUGAUAGGGUAAUUAUCAAUAAAAUUUUGAACUGCAUUGAUCACUGGGUUGAGUCGAUGCAUUUUUAAGUAUUUAGUUUCUACUGAAGUCUAUGUUAGCUAUGUGGUAAAUGGAAAUAAGUUUUCUGAAAUCUGAAAUACUUAAUAUAUCUGUUGUAUGCCAUCCUCUAUCAUUUACUAGUGUAUUUCUAAAGGAUGAUGGUUUCAUUUGUUAUGUUACUCCAGGAGGUCGAGAAGGAUGUGAAAACAAGGACUAAAGGUGAGAUGGGAGCAGCGAAAACCCUAUGCUCCCCGUUCGAGCAGCCUCCCCUUCCAGAAGGUACCAAAUGUUUUGCAUCUGGGAAGCCUGCAAAGAAAUGGAGCUAUUGGGGCCGAAGCUACUAAAGCUAAUCAGCUCCCUAUUUUCUCCUACGCUUCGUCUCGUUAAACGAUGUUGGAAAUCAGCAAGAGUUGUGGAGUUUGGAGGCAUUCGAUUCAGUCGAGUCGAGUUCAUCAUAAUUUCCCGUAUUAGAUGAAGAAAAGCAUUCACUAAACAAAGCAAGUUUAACUUAAAAUGUCUUUUUUUCUCUCUUUGCAUACUUGGAUUUUUUUUGUUGUUGAAAAUGUAAGGGUUUUUUCACUUCCAACCUUGGUUUUCAGUUCUGUUAAACUAGGCCAAUUCUUGGGAGUUUCUAGAUUAUAUACUUUGUAACUUGAAUAAUAACAUCAUGUCAGGGAAUUUUUCUUUUCUUGGGAGCCAUCAUGUUUCUCUUUUUAUUAUUGUUAAUGUUAAUGUACUGUGCCAAUUAGAUACUGGAA